rnacentral:rRNA from 1 species
UGGCUCAGGAUGAACGCUGGCGGUCUGCUUAACACAUGCAAGUCGAACGGUUGUAGAAAUACAAUAGUGGCGGACGGGUGAGUAACGCGUGAGAACCUGCCUUUUAGACUGGGACAACAGAGGGAAACCUGUGCUAAUACCAGAUGAACCGAGAGGGGAAAGAUUAAUCGCUAAAAGAGGGGCUCGCGUCGGAUUAGCUAGUUGGUGUGGUAAAGGCGCACCAAGGCGACGAUCCGUAGCUGGUCUGAGAGGAUGACCAGCCACACUGGGACUGAGACACGGCCCAGACUCCUACGGGAGGCAGCAGUGGGGAAUUUUCCGCAAUGGGCGAAAGCC